rnacentral:rRNA from 1 species
UACGGAGGGAGCUAGCGUUGUUCGGAAUUACUGGGCGUAAAGCGCGCGUAGGCGGCUUUGUAAGUUAGAGGUGAAAGCCCGGAGCUCAACUCCGGAACUGCCUUUAAAAACUGCAUCGCUUGAAUCCAGGAGAGGUGAGUGGAAUUCCGAGUGUAGAGGUGAAAUUCGUAGAUAUUCGGAAGAACACCAGUGGCGAAGGCGGCUCACUGGACUGGUAUUGACGCUGAGGUGCGAAAAGCUAGGGGAGCAAACGGGG